CGCUGGCUCCGCCCCGCUCCCCUCUGACCCGGUGUCUAGUCGCUCUGUCUUCCUGUUCUAAACCACGUGGACGCGUCGGGGGCUGCCUUGGUCCUGGUCGCGCUCCCGGGUCCCGGGUCCCGGGCCUCUGCGGACGGCGCGCACAUGGCGACCCAGGCGCACUCACUCAGCUACGCGGGGUGUAACUUCUUGCGCCAGCGGCUGGUCCUGUCCACCCUGAGCGGGCGACCGGUCAAGAUCCGCAGGAUUCGCGCCAGGGACGACAACCCGGGCCUCCGAGAUUUUGAAGCAAGCUUUAUAAGGCUAUUGGAUAAAAUAACCAAUGGUUCUCGAAUUGAAAUCAACCAAACAGGAACAACCUUAUACUACCAGCCUGGCCUCCUGUAUGGCGGGUCUGUGGAGCACGACUGCAGUGUCCUCCGUGGCAUUGGCUAUUACCUGGAAGCUCUGCUUUGCCUGGCUCCGUUUAUGAAACACCCAUUAAAAAUCGUUCUGCGAGGAGUGACCAAUGACCAGGUUGACCCUUCGGUUGAUGUUCUUAAAGCGACAGCGCUCCCUCUACUGAAACAGUUUGGGAUCGAUGGAGAAUCAUUUGAGCUAAAGAUCUUGCGUCGGGGAAUGCCCCCUGGAGGAGGGGGCGAAGUGCUUUUCUCCUGCCCCGUGAGGAAGGUCCUGAAGCCUGUCCAGCUCACAGACCCAGGAAAAAUCAAGCGGAUCAGAGGAAUGGCGUAUCCUUUGCAUUAAAGUCCUUCUUCUCUUCUUGCCUCGUGAAGAUGACAGUGCUACGCCUUCUCACUGUUUACACUGUCAGCAACAAUCUCACGAAAGUGUCAGUGCUGAACUCGUUUUUCUUCACUUAAUACUACAGUGUCUGGGGAAGGCAAUAAUUCUGUAAACCUUAGCUCCGGUGUGACAUGUAAAUGAUGGAGGGGGAGGGCUGGGGCAGCUGGGACAGGGGUGGGGGUGGCCAGUUGUCUGGAGGAUUCUUUGGCGACUGGAAUGUAACUGUGAUCUACCGUGAAGUGUUUCUCCUGUGUCCUUCAGGGGAAGUUCACUUUAUGCAUCUCAGUUAAGCUUCUGAACGCUUCAAGUUAACUCACAUCCUAUUGUGCAGAUAAGGAAACUGGGAUAUAAAAGCUCUGUUUGUUAAUGUCUCAUAGCUGAUAGGUACGAAUGGGAUUUAAACCUUGUCAAUAAUUUGGUGCCUAGCUUUUAACCUCUGCCUUUUUUUUUUUUUUAAUCUGCAGAAAAGCAGGGACAUUUGAAUGAGCCUUAAAGGAUAGAAGUUUGUGAAGCAGGGCAAGAAAGGGGGGUGCUUCAGUGAGAAAAGUGGGUGUUUGCAGACGAAGCUACACACCACAGUUUUGGGGCACGGCUAGCUAUGUGGGUCGUUAAGACUCAAGUAGUCGGUGACAAUUGAUGAACACGAUGGGGUAGGAAUUGAACAGGAGCCAGUGAAGAAAUGAAGGCCAUAUUGAGCAAUUGGCCUUUAUUUAAAUGUCACUGGUUUUCAUCUGAAGAGCAAAUUUGCAUAUCAGGACAGCUUGGGUGGUCAUGUAAGAACUUUUGUGAUAUUUUGGAAAGUAUGGUUAUAGAAGAAACUCACCUAGUGUCACCAUGGUAACAUAGUUAUUGUACCCGAAGAGAGGCAGGGAGUGGGGUAGUGAGAGGUCAGGCAGGAGCUGCUGCAGAGGGUUGAGAGUCACUGGUUUUAAUGCUUUUCACCGAGGCUUGUUGGUAAGGAUAUGUGCUGAUAGUAGCUACAAAAGGCCAGCGUAGGGUGGAAUGGGGUGGUUGUGAGUUCAGUAUUACAUUGCUGGAUUUGAUGGCUCCACUGAAAUAAGUCUGGAGAGGACUUUAGAGUUGAGGAUCUGCAGCUCGGGAGGCAAGAUGAGGGCUAGAAGUGAACGCUGUGAAGUCAGCAGCCAUGAGGAAUGCAGAGCGAGGAGACUGGCGCCCUGGGCAGCCAUCAGAACUGUGAGUGAGGAGGGACGUAAAGAAGCCAGCACCUCCUGGACACCCAGGCCAGCUCCUGCUGAGGACUGAAGGUACUCAGUUCGUGUAUCACCUCAGAUGGCAAACCGGAUCGUGGAUUCCGCAAGGAGCAUCCUCAACAAGUUCAUACCUGACAUCUACAUCUACACGGAUCACAUGAAAGGCGUCAGUUCUGGGAAGUCUCCAGGCUUUGGGCUGUCGCUGGUUGCAGAGACUACCAACGGUACCUUCCUGAGUGCGGAACUGGCCUCCAAUCCCCAGGGCCAGGGAGCAGCAGUGCUUCCCGAGGACCUCGGCAGGAACUGUGCAAAGCUGCUACUUGAAGAGAUCUACAGGGGUGGAUGCGUAGACUCGACCAACCAAAGUCUAGUUCUGCUGCUCAUGACCCUUGGACAGCAGGACGUUUCCAAAGUCCUGCUGGGACCACUCUCACCCUACACGAUAGAAUUUUUGCGGCAUCUGAAGAGCUUUUUCCAGGUUAUGUUUAAAGUUGAAACCAAGCCAUGUGGUGAAGAACUGAAGGGCGGGGACAAAGUGCUAAUGACCUGCGUUGGUAUUGGCUUCUCUAACCUGAGCAAGACCCUCAAGUGAUCCUGUACAACGUCAGGCUCUGCUGUGCAUGGAUGAAGCAGAAAGAUGCGAAGGACCACAGGGACCAAGUCCAGGCAUGUCCAUCCAGGACAGGCGGCCUCUUAACAUUACAGACUUUCUUUUCCACUGAAAAUACUGAUUUGCAAAUACAAGCUGUCUCUCCCACGUGACUUCCAGCUGCUUCUCCAAUGACAUUCCUCGGAGGCCCAGGCUGUGGGCUUCCAGACUCACCUGGAGGAGGGGCCCUCCGUGAGUGGCCACGCUGCUAGACAGUAUCCCAGCAGCUCUUCUUCAUCUUUGGAUUGUGGCUCUGUGUAGGGUUUAUGUGACAACGUGACAGUGUGUGUAGAAGACCUCCAGUCUGUUGUGCCAGAAGUUGGGGCACUGGUUCCCUCUCUCGUCUUAGGAAUAAUUUGCUUGCAUGGGCACAUGCUAUACCUCACAUGGUAACUUGUGUUUGUGUGGGCCUGGUGGUUGGGAUGGGGAGGGCAGACAUGUCUUAAAUGUUUUCUGUAUCCCAGGUAUGGCAUAAAAUUUUGUUUUUAUUCUUCUAAUUGCA